UGCAGUCGAGCGAAUGACGAGGAGCUUGCUCCUCUGAUUUAGCGGCGGACGGGUGAGUAACACGUGGGUAACCUGCCUGUAAGACGGGGAUAACUUCGGGAAACCGAAGCUAAUACCGGAUAAUAAAAAGAGACUCCUGUUUCUUUUUUGAAAGUCGGUUUCGGCUGACGCUUACAGAUGGGCCCGCGGCGCAUUAGCUAGUUGGUGAGGUAACGGCUCACCAAGGCCACGAUGCGUAGCCGACCUGAGAGGGUGAUCGGCCACACUGGGACUGAGACACGGCCCAGACUCCUACGGGAGGCAGCAGUAGGGAAUCUUCGGCAAUGGACGAAAGUCUGACCGAGCAACGCCGCGUGAGCGAUGAAGGCCUUCGGGUCGUAAAGCUCUGUUGUCAGAGAAGAACAAGUACCGGAGUAACUGCCGGUACCUUGACGGUACCUGACCAGAAAGCCACGGCUAACUACGUGCCA
rnacentral:rRNA from 1 species